GCCCCCGUAGCUCAGUGGAUAGAGCAAUAGAUUCCUAAUCUAUGUGCCGCAGGUUCGAUUCCUGCCGGGGGCACCA
rnacentral:tRNA from 2 species